AAUAAUAAUAAUAAUAAUAAUAAUAGCUUGUCUGUCUUCUUAUCUAAGAAGCAUCUCAUAAAAGUCUUGUAGAGGAAGGAGCGUCAAGCUAACCCUGACUGGGACCGCCUUCCACCUGGAAACCGAUGUCCUCACUGUGGGAGAAUAUGUGGGUCAAGAAUAGGUCUCUUCAGCCACCUAAGAACCCACCCCCAAGACACCAAGGAUGGAAGACAAUCGUCCUCGAGCUACGAGGGAUUGCCUAAGAUAUGAAAAGCAAACAUCUAUUCAAAAACAUGGAAAGAAAUCACAUUGCAACAUCUCCAUCUGAACUUGUUCAAAAGACUCAUUAUGGACCUUCACUGGAUUGGAAUUUAUUCACUGAAUGGAAGAAACCUUUCCAAUUGCAGAAGGUUAAUCAAGAAAUCAACCUUUCAUAUAUUUUUUUACAAUGGAUUUGUUUGCUUUGUGUUUGAUGUUUUGUUUUUGUUGUGUGCUAGUCAGAGAACUUCUGGGCUGAAGGAUAAGGCAGCGAUGGAAUGUUUACCUCAACAACACCUAAAAGCUCUGUGGUUUUCCAAAGAAUUGUUUGUUAUUGAAUGAGAAUUUCAUUUCUCUGAACUCGAUUUACGAUGCAGAUCCUGGUAUCUACAGGGGAUAUAUCUGGUGGAUAGUGAAACCAUAGAUAAUAGCAAACCCUAUUGAAAUUAAGAACCAUAGAGUUGUGCAGGAAGAUCUAGAAAAUGCAAAAUUUGUUGGAUGUGGACAAAUAAAAGUUUGGAUAUCAGUCCCAUAGAUACAGGGGUAGUACUGUAUCACAGUAACUUCUAUAUUACAAAGAGAACUGUGGUGCACAGAGGACUGUUUUUGUAUCAGUUAUUUCAUAUUUUGAGAGCAUUCUGUGUAUUGGGAAUGAUAAAGUUAGUAAGUUAUCUUUUGAAAAACUGAUUUGUACUACUCUACAUAGCAACUAAAAGUUUUGAUUAGCCAGUCUGCUUCCAGGCUUUCAGGUGUGAAUAUCUUUGGAGUAUAAAAUGCAUGUAAGAGAAAUAAUAUCUUGCACGAAAAUUUAUUUCCUUCAUAGUUUUCUUCAUGGCUCAUAAAAAGUGAUUGAUGAAUUUAAUUUUUAGUUUAAUUUCUUUGACUCACUUCAGUAAUUUUGAUGAUAUUAAGCAAAAUUUAUUAAGAAUUAGGAUCAAUUCAAGAGACGUUAAUAAGUAACCAUACCAGACCACCAGAUAUCAUUUUAUGUUUUAAAAAAUGAUGGCCAGGGAAAACAUGGGGAUGAUGGGUAUGGAUUAGGAGCAGAUAUACUAAUUCCUGUUGACUUCUAACAAAAAUAUUACUGGUAUAUUCCAGGAAUUCAGAGGUCCGGGUUUAAAAGCUUUUGCAUACUUUAGUGCCACUAACUGUGCUCAUUUCUAGACAUGCCUGAUCUGGCCAUGUUGACAUAUACCUUGGUUACAUCCUGUUUAGUUCACUGUAACAUGUUGUAUUUAGGGUUGCCUUUGACAAGUAUUUGAAAACUUCAUUUAGUAUAAAGAGUUUUCUAGAUUCUUACCUACUGCUUCAUGAAAUGAAGAAAGAUGGAUUAGGAAUAAUUAAGAUAUUGAUAAUUUUAUUAUUUUUAUACGAAUUUGCCAAAACUCAUAGAAAUUGUAUGUUAUUAAAUAUUUAUUUAUUUAUUUAUUUAAUAAAUAUUUAAUCAAAUACAAUUGCUAUGACAUUUUUCCAUAUAAGAGAUGAAGAAUAUCUUUUGUAACAUUGUGAGCUGCCCCGAGUCCCCACGGGGAGAUGGUGGCGGGGUAUAAAUAAAGUAUUAUUAUUAUUAUUAUUAUUAUUAUUAUUAUUAAUCUGAAAUGUGUCUGAAGAUGAAUAUGAAACCUAUCAAUGUUUUACCUUCGAAGAAGCAUAUUUCAAUAAAAAGGAGAAAGAAAUGAA